UACGGGGGGGGCAAGCGUUGUUCGGAAUUACUGGGCGUAAAGGGCGCGUAGGCGGCUCGCUAAGUUGGAUGUGAAAACUCUGGGCUUAACCCAGAGCCUGCAUUCAAAACUGACGGGCUAGAGUUUUGGAGGGGAAAGCGGAAUUCCUGGUGUAGCAGUGAAAUGCGUAGAUAUCAGGAGGAACACCGGUGGCGAAGGCGGCUUUCUGGACAAAAACUGACGCUGAGGCGCGAAAGCUAGGGGAGCAAACAGG
rnacentral:rRNA from 1 species